GGGUGGAGUGAACCUCCCCAUGUAGCACAGUGAGGGAAGACAUCUCUAAGGAGGUGACAUUGAAACUGAGACCUAAAAAGUAGAGGAGUAGCUAGCCAUGUGAAAGGCAUGUUCAGAACCCCGAGGAAAGAUCUAGUUUGGGGGCAGAAAGGAGAGCAAGUGGGGCCUCCCAGUAAUGAGCCAAGGGUAGGAGGUCAUGGGCCGCAGGUGAGAAAUAGGUACAGGCCAGACCAUAGAUUUACAAGUCACAGUUAAAAAGUUCGGAUUUCAUUCCAAGUUUCUUGCGUGAAAUAUUGUAACAAGGCUGGAACAGACCUUUGGGACUCAUUCCACCUGUCAGGAACUUUUUGGAGCACUGGCCUGAGAGAGUGAGUGAAGCUGUCAGAAGUACCUAAGACCAAAUCUAUGAUUUCUUUCCACUGGGGGAAUCUGGGCAGCACCGAUUUGCACUUCACAUGUCUCUUCAUAAUUAUAAAAAAGAUGGAUGGAAAGCAUAUGUGAGCAACAAUUAAAUACACUAGAAGAAGAAAAUUGCAGAUAAAGUUUGUAAAUGUUCAGAGAGAAAAAAAAUUAC